CGGCGGCGUGGCGGGCGGGGCGGCCCGGGAGCCACACCCUGAAACUACCUGUGCGCGACAGGAAGGGCCCGGCAGAGCCUCGGCGGCCGGAGCGCUGGGCCUGAGACCGGAACCAGGCCCGCCCCGCGCCCCGACCCCGCGGCGAUGGCCUGAGCCACACGGCCUCCGGCACCAUGAAGAGCGAGCGGGCGCGCAGGGGCACAGGCGGCUCCGGGGGCCUCGGCGCGGGACUCAAGUACACCUCGCGGCCGGAGCAACUAUAUGCGAAAAACGCCUAGUUUACAGAUGACAACACUGAGAUUCAGAGGGCUUGCAUAAUGGCCCAAAGGCAGAGGCACAGCAAGAGUUCAAACCUAGAUCUGUGCAACUUCAAAGCUUAUAGCCUUAACCGCAAAGCCAUUGUACAGCUGUAUGCCAAAGACAGGGUGAUUGAUGCACACCCCAGCAAAAUCCUAGAACACAUCGUUCAACAGCGUACUGAGAACCAGGUGCCAACACGAAUCCACUAAGGACCUCUCACACCACGCUCCUCUGGUUUCUCCUCUUGAUGAGGUUACUCACCUGAUAGACCAGAAGACCGGCUGGAGAUGGGAUUUCAACAGGCUUUGAAAAAUGUAGCUUUGU